rnacentral:lncRNA from 1 species
AUAACCGUUGAAGACGUCUCAUUCAUCUUUGCAUUGCGAUCCCCUCCAACCUCAAUUUGUGGGGAUUUUUGAACUUCGACCGGUCGAAAAUAGUAUCCAGAUCCAUAAUGAAUUGAGCUGCCACCGUUUUCGUUGGUCUACUCACUUUUGUUACGCUCAUUCUAGAUUUGUCAUACAGAAACAACUAACGUGACCCAAUGAAGGCCCCAACAAGGGGAUCCCUUAGUGAAGGAGCUGAUUCCAUCAAUUAUAUUUUCCAAACGCAGAUCCCCCAUUGACGAAAAUGGAACAACCAUCCUCUACUAUAGCACAAAGUGUGUGCCGAUGAAAGAGUUUCAUACCUGCCGGCUAUAUCUGCAGUUGAAGAAGAUAUGUGCUGCAGUCGUGGCAAUCGCACAAGACAAA